CCCUCUGCAUGCUUCCAAGGUCUGUAUAUGGCAUUAACUGGAAAAACUUCCAUGCCUAGCCCUCUCUGGAUGCCAAACACCACAAUAUGCAGGCCUUUGCUGUCACGAAUCUGAAAUCCUGGGUGGUCCAAUUCAUACGUUACUACUUUGAAAUCCAGGCUAGGAUUCAGCUCUUUAAGAACAUCAAUUAGGACCUCCACAUUCCAGGUAUGGGCUUGUGCUCCAUCACUUUUAUCUUUCCCAUCGCUCCAAAUUCCACUGCCAGGAGCCGAAAUAGAUUGUAAUGGAAUACCAUCCGUCAACCCCGAAUGCGUUCGAGCCAUCAUCCCCAGAACCCUGGCAACCUGGGCAGCCGUCACCUCCCGGACUCCAAACUGCAUGAUUAUGUUGCGACAUUCUUCAAUGCUUGUACAAAAGCCAUAGCCAACUUCUUGCAUAAAGUCUGCCAGAGAACUCUCCAUCAUUGUUUUGGCUAUCCCUCCAGAAUCAGGCAGGAUCCUGUCCAUUAGAAUGUCCCGUUUUUCAGGGUAUAGAAGUGGUGCAAGCACCACAGGGCAACGCUCCUGGGGAAAAUCUCUACGUAAUGUUUUGAGGAAAGCGUCAAUCUGUUCCUGUCCCACCCCAAAG
rnacentral:lncRNA from 1 species